GGGGCGGGGAGCCCAAGAACAGUUCGUAGCCUUUGAACUAAGGCUUGAACCGCCUGCACAGUCUCAUCUUGGCAAGAAUUCUACUAAGUCAGUUAAGUGAGAAUUCCCCCCACGUUUGAUGUCUGACCGCCCUGGGUAUCUAAUCAAGUUCCUCACCCCCCAACGUUGAUGUCCUCGAAGUUGUUGGCCUGCUUCAGCAAGGAUUCUCUUAGACCAGUUUAGCAGGAAUCCCCUGACCCUGAGGUCUCCUCUUAGUAAUUUUCCAUCUACUCACCUCCUCGCUUGGUGCCACGACUGAAUCCCCAGCUGUCUUUACCAUAAUCAGAACUGAUCUCUCUCCCCUAUCAUCAUACCCCUGCUGUAAUAAUGUUGAAUAAAGCCUUCCUUACCACUUAACAAGUGUAAGAAUAAUUAUUUCUUUUUAACACCAGUUAAGGAAAGAUUCACAUUGCCUUAUGAAAUGCCAUACACACUGCACUGUGGUAGAACGUAUUGGGAGUAAGGUGAGCGAAGCCCACAGUAACCAUAAAAGUACUAGUGGACCAGAAAGGAGAGCCUGCCCAGACUUAGGGCAGAGGGUAGUAUGACCUAAAGGGACUAGGACAGGGAUUUAGCUAAGGCUACGGUUGGUAAUUCAUCAUUCUUUCAUGGUGUCCUGUCUCUGAUUUUGACAAGUGGUGACCACAGUUGACCCCAGGGAGAUGAUGAUUUAGCCGGGUUAUCUUGGGAAAGCCACUUAAGCUCUCUUUCUUCUUUCUGAUGCUUACUGGUACAUCUCAUUUUCAUAUUUACCUAUAAACCUGGCAUGCUCUUCUCUGUAGAGAUUACUAAUGGAAUGGCAGUACUAAGUCAUGGCAGUGAUCCUUCUGGCCACUCUCAAUUCUGUUUUCUGCUUAAAUAACAAAAAAUGGAGGGAAAUAAGUUACGUACCAGUGGCCACUUGUUUAAACUCGGGGAAUUAACUUUUCAGUAAAUUCUUGAACACAGAUACCCCGAGGACAUUCUAAGUAGGAAAGCCUUGAGUUGAGAAUGUUGAUAACCAGCCUGGGUGAUUGUCUCAGCCUUUCUCUUUUCCCUUCCUCUCCUGGAAGGGAGAGAAAUCAAGGGGAGGGAAGAGCGUGUCGGGAAGGAGACUGUGUUCUCUGUUCUGCCAGAAGUGAAUUAUUCAUCAUGCUCCUGGUUCUAGCUCGAAUGGGCUUUGUGACAGUACUUUCAAAGUGUACUGACUGUGAUUUCCUUAAACCUGUCCCACAUAUAAUGCUGCACACUGCUUGGGACCGAGAGCCCCAGCUCUGAGCCAGACGCAGUGUCUGGCAUGAUUGGCUUUCAGAAGUGACUGGAAUUUCUUGCUGUGUUGUACGGAGAAGAGCAAGAAUAUGUCAGUAAAAUACAUUCCCUCUCUUAAAGUACUUUAGCAAGGUGCUGCGCGCGUAGUAGCUGCUUGAUGAGCGUUUAGUAAAUAGAUACAAUUCAGAUUCACUCAUUCUCUGGCAAAUUUUGAAGUAUUUCACGAGUCUACUGCGUAGACACGGUAUUUACCUUUUACAUUCUGGUCAUUUUUCAAUGAAUGACGUGUUUUGCAGACAGAUUUCCUUUCACCCCUGGUAUUCCUGUUCAUAACUGAAAGUCAUCAAUUAAAUUUUUAUUGUACUUGAAAAUUUUUAUUCAGAAAAUGAAUAUAUUGACAUUUAAGUUGAUAUGAAUAUUAGCUUAUGUUAGGGGAUAAUUACUGGAUCUUGUUAGAUUUACUAAAUAUAUCAGAACCUGAAGGCCUUAGAAUAAAGCUUUGACUGCUAGAGUGUUAAAUCAAAUCAAAUCUAAAGAUUUAAAGAACAAACAUCCAUUGUAAUUUCUGGCACAAGUUUGCUGUUAGGUUUUUGUACUCGUGGGAGUGAAAGAACUAGGAAGUUUCUGAAAGAAUUUAAUACCGUAUUUUUAGAUAUAAUUUAAGCAGAUGUUUUCUUUUAUCCCCAGGGGACUCAGUCGUGUUGGCUCAUAAUAUCUUCUCGCAAGCCGUAGUGAAAGACCUCCCAAAGGAGUUUUUUGGGGGCAGGGGAGUAUCUUAGGAAGGAGUGCCUCUAGAAAUAAAAUGCGGGCUCAGCCACCCUCUGUCUGCCCCCUGAAGGGGAGUGAUUGCCCUUUGUAAUACCCCAAUUCAGAUGUAAAGCGGUGUAACUUCUUGGUUAAGGGCACAUGCUCUGAAGUCAGACUUGGUGGGUUCAGAUCCCAGCUCUGCCACUUAUUAGCUCUAUGACCUUGGGAAGCCACUUAUUUUCUUUAUUGUUCUGGCUCUUUAUCUGUAAAAUGUAAUAACAGCAGUGACUGCUUUUGAGGUUGUCGUGAGGUUUAGACGACUGAAUACAUCUAAUGCCCUCAGAACAAUGCCUGGCACCUAGUGGAAGGCACCUGUGUUAACUGCUCCUGCCGUUGUGGUGGUGGUGGUGGUGGCACAUUUAGAUAAAGGAGGUAAAUAUGCCAGGGUUUUAAGUGUUUACCUCAGAGCUACUGGAUUAUACAUGAUUUUCAUUUCUUUUAAUGCCUGUAUUUUAAGUCAUGGGUUUAUAUUCCUUUUUAUACCCAAAAUUAUGAAUUUAUAAUGUGAAGUAUAACUUUAUGGUUUACUAGAAUACUUGUAUUAAGUUUAAGAAAGCCAAGUGGGAAGCCGGAUUACCUGCAGGUGGGUUGGUGAACAAGGUAUUGGCAGGGUACAGAGGAUAGUUGUGUAGUGACAUCAAUGUUCUCAGUGGGUACAGACAUACCUGUAGGGUUGUGUAAUGCUUAAGAGCACCGACUUGUAGACAGGACUCCCAGGGGUUGAUUUCUUCCCAGCUUAGUCAUUGAUAAGGUGUAUAACAUUAGGCAGGUUUCCUUAUCUCUAAAAUGAGAAUAAUACAUACUUGGUUGGGUGGAUUGUUGGUUUUCAGUUAUUAGGUGUAUAUUACAAACUUUGCAAUAGCAGGUGUUCAGUGACGGUACCAAAGAAACAAAGAAUUCAAACAAACGCGUUGAGGAAGUUCACAUUGCUCAUCGAGAUACAUUUCUUCUCUUUCCCCAUGGUAAAGAAAUGCGCAACUCAACUCAUGUUCUUUGGGGUUCCCUUUUUCCCAUGCUCACCAUUUUCUUCAUGUCAAUACAUCCAUUCUUUAGGCCAAAUACAAAUAUAGUUGGAUUGAUUACUGCUUUAAACAUGCUAAUGGAAUCUCUCUCUCGAGACUGCAUUGAUUUUAUUGAACCCAAAUAUAAAGACAAGUCUUAAAUCAGACAUUUGCAUGUUGAAGAUAAGUUUGAUGUCCUUGUGUAUGCUGGAAUAUAGUCUCUUCUUUUGUCUUUUCUGAAUCGGAGUGCUUAUAUUUUUUGCCUCUAGAAGUUACAGAAAAAGCUUGAUAAGCAAGGUUUUGGUGGAGUUAUGAAAAGUUCUUCUAAUUUUAUUUGGGUGCUGCUUUGGAGUCUGAUAUUACGAGGCUGAAAUCCAUAGUGCCAUCAGUCAGGAAGGAGCGACGAAUGUGAUGGGAGAGAACGGGACACAGUGGAGUCGAUGAGGACAAAAGGGAACUCGUUUCUCUCUCUCACUGCUUUCCAAGCUCUAAGAGGGUGACCGGCAGGCUGAGCUGAUGGCCUUCAUCACAGGGCUGCUUGAGCACCUGGACCGGGAUUCACAGCAGCCAAAGCAGGUGCUCCAGCAGGAGUUGGAGAGCUUCGAAGCCCGACGACUGCUCCCUGCUCGCAAGACGUGCCAACAGAUCAUCUAAACCAGGCGUGAGCUGCAGCUGUGUCUGGUGCAGCGCUGACCUUCAGAGCGUAUAAAUGACCAUUGUUUUAGUUCUGCCUUCCAGAUCUUCGGCAAGUUUCUUGUGUCCAGUAUUACCCAGGACCAUAGAGGGAAGAGACUUUGGGGCAAUAGAAUUCCAGCUUGGCUAAAUUUACAUUCUAGACACCAUCACAGCCCACCUCAUGGCACCUCGGCCAUCCCUCAGAAGUAUGGGGUUUGGCCACACUUCUCUUAGCCAUACCUUCUGAAUGAAGGUAAUAGCAAAAUUAUGCUUUUGCCUGAUAUGACGCAACUAUUCUAGGCAUAUGAAAAACACGCUAACCCUCUCCUCGAAAGAAGAUACGAAGUCCCUUUAGCCAUCUUUGGGUGAUGUUCGUUUCUCUUCUGAGUCCCACUCUUGUUCUUGUACCUUGUAACCUCAGUAUUGAAAUACAGAGUUAGCUAAUUUUAACACUUCAAUGUUGGGUGAUAGGCAAAUGGGGAAAGGGAAUAGAAAGAAAGAAAGAAUUGGUUAAUUUAUACACAAAUAUGUUCAUACCAAAAUAAGAGAGACUUAUUGCAAUCCUUAUUUCUGCAACUGGUCACGUGGUCACAGAUGGUGUUUAUAAUUACCUUCUUCUACUAAUUCCGUGUUGUAUUUGUGCUCAACAAAUGCCUCAGCUGCUUAUAAUUCCUUGCCUGGGGAGGUACCCCAGACUUGAUUCCUGAAAAGUCUGGGCCGUCAGAAAUCAUGCCUCCAUUGGGUUAUCGUAAUUUUCCACUGACUUGUCUCAGGACAAGGGAGAAAUAAGAGGUGCCCUAGAGGAUCUCGUGCAUUUAAACAUACUCUUCCCUAAGCCGUUAUGCAAUAGCAACCCAAUUUCCCCUUUAUAGUCAGGAUCAGUCACCUCAGCCGGUAUAAUAACCCUCUUCUUGGUCUACUUAUUCACUGCCAUGAAGCAGUCUCAACUUGCAACGUAAUGGACCAUUGCUGUGAUCCCUGGUGGAAGCAUUCCUCCCUUAGGUACUAAGAUAUCUAUGCUAGCAGAACAUAAAGUUGUAGGGGCUAGAAAGAAAAAAAUUUUCUGAUGGGUCAUUAAGAGUGAUAGCGAGAGGAGAUAUUCCAAUUUCUAUCUCUUGAUUCCUAGACCUAUGAAUCCUGGCUAUGGGAGAAAUAGCCCUAUGUAUUGGUCCCUGACUCAGAGUACACGUUGUGUCCUGGAAGAUGUUACCCCAGCCCUGCAAGGAGUUGUCACCCAGCUGGCAUCAUAACAGUCUUUGAAAGGCCUUUUCACUGGUUCUCAAGCCAGCUGCUUCAGGGUAUUGUGCAUAUGAUAAGAACAGUACAUUCUCCCAGCAUGAACCCAUUGCCGUGCUUCGUUUGCCAUAACAUUAGUUCCUUGCUUAGAAGCAAUGCUGUGUGGAAUAUCAUGGUGGUGAACUAUGUAUACUGUAAGUCUCCCCGUGGUGGUUUUGCCAUAAGUAUUAGGAUUAGGGAAGGCAUCUUCAUAUCUGCAGCAAGUGUUUAUUCCAGUGAGAUUAAAACACUGCCCCUUCUGUGCUGAAAGUAGUCUAAUUCAAUCAACCUGCCACCAGGUAACUGGCUGACCUCACCCCUUCCUCCUGGCACUUGUCAUUUGGGGAGCUCAGUCUUACUCUCUGCAGUUGGCAGAUUAGCCUUGGUGAGUGUUAGUCCAUGUUGCUAGGCAGAUGAGUGGCUGGAGCACGGCUGAUAACUUUAGCAUGAGUCAUCUUCGGCGAGCAUUCACUUGGGACACAUCUAUGUCCACAUGCUGUACUCAUUCAGGGAGACCUAUCCCAUACUUCUUCCUCACCAUUAAUUUUCAAAUCUUGUUCCUUCUGAGUCCUUGAUCAUUCAUCCAAGACGCUAGCGCUAGUCUGUCAGUCUCUGUAGAUCCAGACUUUUACACUCUCUUUGUAAGUGAAAUAAACAACUGGGUGCACUGCUUAAAGUCCCCCUCCCCCCCCCCCCCCCCCCCCCCGCUUUAACCUUGCCAGUUUAACUUUGCCACGUCCCUUCAGUGCCACCCAGAGUGCAGCUGCAGGGCAGCAGUGGUCGAGCCCUGAGCCGUCCUAGCAUAUUGUGCAGAACCAGCUGUAAACUAGGCUUGAACGCUUUUAUUUCUCUUAUCAGCUGGUCUCCCCAGGAGUCCACGGACGUGGAUUUAGACGAAAUAAGCACUGUAGCAAGAGUGUGGCUCAAGGGGCAUCUCUGCCACUUGCGUGUGCAACUGGUUUGUGCCUUCAGGACUUGCUCAAGUCCUGUCUGACAUGUGCCACUCCCACUGGUUGGUGGAACGUUGCUGUGGGAGCCCAGAUGUUUUGGGAUUGAUGAAUCAAACAGCACCCCAGUGAUAACGGCAAGCUCACAUCGAAUGGCAACUUGGUGGUCUGUGGUCACCUGUUCAGUCUCUUGUGCCUCCCGAUGGCAAGCCAGAAGGUGUCCCCUCAAAGAGAAUAGUUAUCUGCAGAGGGUGGCGUAGCUUUGCUCCCAAAUGUUCAAAGUUCACCCUGUGAUUCGCGUGUUAGGGCCCAAUGAAGGCUUGGUGCUUGAUUUCUCCGUGCCAGAGUCUGCAAGCCCCAGUGAGGCUUCUGGGUUCCAGUAGUAGACUAGCUUGAUGACAGCCCGAGACUUAUUACAGAGUCCUGUUUUUCUGGCCCCUAUUAAAAAUUGGCCAGCUUUCAGGUUACCUAUACUGGUAUAAUGAAAUAUAUUUUACUUUCAAAAUUCACACGUAUGGUGUCUCCUUUUUAAGGGUAGGAGGGACCAGAUGCAGCAAUUUAUUCUUGACUCUGGAAGCGAUAUCCCAACAUAUCCCAGACCAUUAGAUUCCCAGGAAUUUCACUGAGGAAGCAGGCCCCUGAAUUUCUGUGGGAUUUAUUGCCUACCCUUGGUCACACAUGUAUCUUAGUCAAGGUAUCUAGAGUAGUUGUUACUGCCUGCUUACCUGAUCUAAUCAGCAUAAUAUCAUCAAAAUAAUAGACCCGUGUGAUUUCCUGUGGAAGGAAAGGUGAUUAAGGUCCCUGUGGACUGGAUUAGUGGUUCUCAACUGAGGGCAGUUUUGUCUCCCAGAGGACAUUUGGCAAUGUCUGGAGACAUUUUUGGUAUCACAAGUCGGGGGCAGGCAUCUGGUAGUAGAGGCGUGGGAUGCUGAUAAACAUCCCCUGAUGCCCAGAACGGUCCCCUACAGCAAGGGAUUAUCUGGCCCCAAAUGUCUGUGGUGCUGAGAUUGAGAAACCCUGGGCCACAUUAUGGCAUAGGCUGGAGGUUUGAAGUGCCCCGUGGUAGCAUAGUGAAGAAGCCACAGUCUGUUCUAAUGUUCUUUACUAGCAUGCAUAGAGAAAAACCAGGGGUUUCAUUGAUAUGAUCCAGCGAGGAAGCCACAUCUAGAGUAGCAGUUGUAAUUGGAAUUACCAACUGCUUUGAGUUUUGAUAAUUUCCUGUCAUUCCCUGAGAUUUAUCUGUCUUUUGCACAGGCCAAAGAGAUGAGUUGAAUGGAGAUGUGGGAAUUAGCAUCACUGCAUCUUUAUGGUGGCACUAAUCCCUGGGCCCCUCCAGGAGGCAGUAUUGCUUUUGGUUUACUAUUUUGCUAAGAUCAUGUAGUUCUGGUCUCUUUCUCCCACCCAAUCCCGGCAUUUUAGCCCUUAUAGUCAUUCAUGGACUAGGGAACCAGAGUGUAGGUUUGGCAAAUGCCAAGUGUGUAAAUUUCAACUGUGUAUUCCAGAACUGGGAAGGUAAGCACAGGAAGCAUUUGGGCACUUACUGGUUCCACUGUGAAAUGGGCCCAGUCCAAAAGUUCAAUGAACAUCUGAUUUCUUUAUGCUCCUGCUCUGAUUGGUUUAUCAUAGUAGAGUUUGGGUCUUGAGGAAUUACUGUUAGUUUGGAGACAGUUUGGAUUUUUUCCCCACGUCCUUCAAUGCGUAGUCACCCUAGUAAAUUGCCACAGUUCUCUUUUGAGGAGAGUUGGGAGGAAGAUUUACAGAAUGCGUUUUGGGGUGAAUAGGAUUGUGUUUCCUCAAAGACCCAGCCUUCCUUUCAUUCAAGGGUCUCUGGGUCUUUGAACUAACUCACGUCUGGGAAUUGUUUGAGGGACAAUGGCUGUAUUUUGGUUUGAGUCACAGUGAGAGCUACAAAAGCACCUGACCUAGACCCAGAUCAUAACAUUUUUACUUUCUAAGUCUUGCACAAAUUUCACAUGGCCAGUAACUCAGAACCAUGUUGAGAAGGGAAUUUCGGGAAAACACUGCAUCUUAGCUAAGCCGACACCAAGCCACCACAGUUGUGUUGAGCACAAAGAUGUUGUUAUUGUUCACGAUGACCGUGGGUAAUUGGACUUUCCAAAGUGAUCUGUGUUGCUUAUAUAUACUCAUAUCAAUUCCUGCUUCAGUUUAUUACUCAUUUGGAACAGCUGAGAUCAGGGCCACUAAGUGUGACUGUCUACCAGUCCAGGAGCACCAUUCCCAUGGAUUGGAACGUAUCAGGUGUGCUUCGGAGUUGCACAACACAGCGGCCUUGCCAGGGUUAACAUGUGACUCAGUGUGUGACUGACACACGGCGAGGGUAUCUCUGGUUUCUGCUGGUUUGAGUUCUUUCCGAGCAGAAUGUUAACUGGUGAUUUAGAAAGUUGCAGCUUUUAGGGCACCUGAAUGGCUCAGUUGAUUAAGCGUCCGACUCUUGAUCUCAGCUCAGGUCUUGAUCUCAAGGUCAUAGUCAGGUCAAGGUCUACGCUGGGCUCCACACUGGGCAUGAAGCCUACUUAAAAAAAAAAAGUUUGCAGCCUUUGAUAACUACUCUCUCAAGGAAGUGAUAUUGUACAAUUUGUUUAGAUAGCACAUGGGAGAUUUUUUUCUCUAAAUAUUUGGACGGUGUUCAGUACAGUAACUUUGGCAAAUAAAAUGAUUCUGAACAUAGUCUCCCCCCGUCCUAAAAAAUGGCUAAAAAUCUAUAUAUUUUAUUACAUGAAUAUUUAGAACAACUGGCUGUAUAUAUUUAAUAUUGAACUUCAUGGUGUGGUUCACUCUCCUUAGUAUGUAAGCAUGUAAUGGUCACAUGAAAAUCAGACCUCUAAGUUACAGUUAAGUAAAACAUUGGCGAGUAGUUGUUUCAAAUUGAGGUAACUUUGACAUACAGAGAAAUGCACAGAUUGUUUGAGUACAGUUAAGUGAGUUUUGAUCAAAGUAUAUAUCACCCCCAAUUGAGAUAAAGAACCUUUACAUAAUAUCCCAGAACUCACUUCUGCCAUCUUUGUAGAGAGUUAAUAAAUGCAAAAAAAAAAAACAAAAAAAAAAAAA